rnacentral:lncRNA from 1 species
UUAUAUUAUCAUUUUUGCUGGAGUAAAAUCUGAAGCCUAUUCCCACUUCAUUCAGGUAAACAAAGAGUCGACUUUUCAUAUGGAAAUGGGAGAGUCUCUCAAAGAUGGGUCCCCCGAGCAGAAUAUAUUCCCCACUGAAUAAACAUGAUCGUAGACAUGGUGUAAUGUCUAAUCUAUUUCUGAAUGUAAUGGCAUUGAAAUAUUUUGAUGGAAGUAGGAGGACACAUAGUAAAAUAUUCAUGAUUCACUGGUCAUCUGGUAAAUCCCUGAAGAAAUGCUGA